rnacentral:rRNA from 1 species
GACAUAGGUGGCAAACGUUAUCCGGAAUUACUGGGCGUAAAGAGUGCGUAGGUGGUUCAAUAAGUUACUGGUGGGAAAUCGGGGCUCAACCUCGUGGAAGUCAGUAAUACUAUUAAACUAGAGGGUCGGAGAGGUUAACGGAAUUCUAUGUGUAGCGGUAAAAUGCUUAAAUAUAUAGAGGAACACCAAACGGCGAAGGCAGUUAACUAUUCGAUUCCUGACGUUGAGGCACGAAAGCGUGGGAGCAAGACGGG